GAUGAACGCUGGCGGCGUGCUUGAUACAUGCAAGUCGAACGGAGAGUGUAGCAAUAUACUUUUAGUGGCGAACGGGUGAGUAACGCGUUGGUGACCUGCCCCGAAGCGAGGGAUAACAGUUCGAAAGAACUGCUAAUACCUCAUGUGAUCACCGGUUUUAGAAUCUGGUGAUUAAAGGUGAAAAUCACUUCGGGAGGGGCCUGCGUCCCAUCAGCUAGUUGGUAAGGUAAUGGCUUACCAAGGCGAUGACGGGUAGGGGACCUGAGAGGGUGGCCCCCCACAAUGGAACUGAAACACGGUCCAUACACCUACGGGUGGCAGCAGUAGGGAAUAUUGCAAAUGGGCGAAAGCCUGAUGUAGCAACGCCGCGUGUGCGAUGAAGGUCUUCGGAUUGUAAAGCACUUUUUGGAGGGAUGAGGAAGGACAGUACCUCCAGAAUAAGCCUCGGCUAACUACGUGCCAGCAGCCGCGGUAAACUGUCUACG
rnacentral:rRNA from 1 species